rnacentral:rRNA from 1 species
UUUGUAGAAUGAACCGGCGAGUUACGAUUUGUUGCAAGGUUAAGCGGAAAAAGCGGAGCCGUAGCGAAAGCGAGUCUGAAUAGGGCGCAUAAGUAACAGGUCGUAGACCCGAAACCAGGUGAUCUACCCAUGUCCAGGAUGAAGGUAAGGUAAUACUUACUGGAGGUCCGAACCCACGCACGUUGAAAAGUGCGGGGAUGAGGUGUGGGUAGCGGAGAAAUUCCAAUCGAACUUGGAGAUAGCUGGUUCUCUCCGAAAUAGCUUUAGGGCUAGCCUCGAGGUAAAGAGUCAUG